ACACCAAUUCUGGAAGCUUGUGGA
rnacentral:siRNA from 1 species